rnacentral:lncRNA from 1 species
UCAAACUCAACUCAAUUCAACACAGAACAAAGUGAAACCCCACACUAACAUGCGCCAUCAGCUCCUCUCCUCGCCAAUCGCAAUGUCUUCUUCUUCAAGCAAAAGCCUCAAUUUGAAAAAAAACCGGUCAAACCCUAACCCUAACCCUCCCUGCCACCACUCCGCCUCCGCCACUCUCGACCUCCUCAUCCUCCUCCUCGUCCUCUUCGCCGGCACUUUCCUCGUCUCCUCCUACUUCUCCUACACUCUCC